AAUGACGAAAGUCAUCAUCCGUAAAAAUUGGAACGAUACAGAGAAGAUUAGCAUGGCCCCUGGAGCAAGGAUGACACGCACGAAUCGAGAGGUGUAUCGAAACUUU
rfam:Ectocarpus siliculosus strain Ec 32, whole genome shotgun sequence assembly, chromosome LG30